UGUGUGUUUUCUGUCGCUUGGUGUACUGCGGGUUGUCGGAGCCGCGCAGGUGUAAGUAGGCCAAUAGUCCAUUGGAGUGCUACCUGGUGAAUUAAAGAGAUCACUAAAUACACUUCCCACAUCCUGCCGAUCAAAGUGAGCAGACAUGUCGGUUCCACAAGUGCUACUUGAGACUGUGGACAAUUU